rnacentral:rRNA from 1 species
UACGAAGGGGGCUAGCGUUGCUCGGAAUGACUGGGCGUAAAGGGCGCGUAGGCGGCUUGCACCGUCAGAUGUGAAAUUCCUGGGCUUAACCUGGGGGCUGCAUUUGAUACGUGUGGGCUUGAGUGCGGAAGAGGGUCGUGGAAUUCCCAGUGUAGAGGUGAAAUUCGUAGAUAUUCGGAGGAACACCAGUGGCGAAGGCGGCUCACUGGUCCAUUACUGACGCUGAGGUGCGAAAGCGUGGGGAGCAAACAGG